GCCGAGCGGGGCGCGCGGUUGCCGGGGAAACCGCGGCGAUGGCGGCGCCGGGGCCGGUGGGCAGCCGCGCCGCCCAGCGUGAGGAGCCGGCCGGCUCCGCGGAGUCGUCCGUCGCCACCAGGACGCCGGUGCCCACUGUGUCCUCCGUGUCCCCCAAGCAGCCCGUGUCGCCGGCGCAGGUUGCGGAGUCUCCGGGCAAGAGCCUGUGGGAGCAGAUUUGCGAGGAGUAUGAAGCUGAGCUGCCUCCUUUUCCAGAGGGCUACAAAGUCCAGCCAGACGCUACGACUGCUGCUGCACCCCUGGAGGAAAUGGUUUUCCCUCGCGUCAAAACAGCGCACGUUUAUUCAGUUCCCCAUUCUACCAGGGACUCACAUACGCUCUGCACUCCAGUCACAUUGGAAACAGUCGAUCCAAAAACAUGCUCCCCCAGAGAAUUUUUGGAAACAUUCAUCUUUCCAGUUCUGCUUCCCGGCAUGGCCAGCCUGCUUCACCAGGCAAAGAAAGAGAAAUGUUUUGAGAGGAAAAGAACCAAAUUCAUUGCCUGUGAUUUUCUGACUGAGUGGCUAUACAAUCAAAAUCCAAAGAGGACAGGGGCGCCCUUCACAGAAUUCUUCUCCAUCCCGUUUGUGGAGCAGUGGCUGAAGGAACACCCACGGCCGCCAGUCCCGCUGUCCCUCCUGCUGACAGAAGUGGAAGCAGUUCUGCGCAUUCAGGCCUUUUGGAGAGCUUAUCGGGUUCGCUGCGACGCUGAGAUUCAAGAACUGCGUCAGUGGCAGAAGAAACUGCGUGAGGAGCAGCACAUUCGCCAGCGAGUCAGAAUUUUCUGGGCCAAACAGGAGCAGAAAGGGGUUCCCACUACCAGGGAGUCCCUGGGGAGUCCCCGGGGCUCAGAUAAAGAGGAUCCUGUUCUAGAAGGAGCCGAGGAAGAGGUGGCAGGAUCUCAGGAACUGGCCAGGCCCCUGGCCUCUGCUCAUCCCCUGAAGGGUCCUCUGGGUUCCUGGAGGUGAUCCCCACGCUGCCCUCCCAAGUCAGUCACCUGCACCAGGUCUCAGGCUCUGCUCUCAGGGGAACCCAACCAAGAUGCACAUCCAACAUGCCAGAGAAAAACUGCAGCUCAGAGAGGUAAAGUACUCAAAGCCACACAUCCAGGAAGUGGCCGAAGCAGGAUCUGAACCCAGACAUCUGACUCAGGGGUCCAAAUUCCUACACUCUUGGUUCCGGAUGUCAGGGACCGGGCACGAGCAUUGUCCCUCCCCCUCUACAUUUGGGCUGCAACCACGGACACUUCCAGGGAGCCAGGAUCCUGAGAGCAGCUCCUAUCCUGCCUUGGCCGUGAGGCCAUUGACUGGGAUAAAUUAUUGAUGCCACCGACCCAGAAGGGGCCUGGUGCUGCGGGGACCGUCACCUUUGCCUAUCGAUAAGAGAAGGCGGGCUCAGAACGGAAGGCGUCUGGCAAGAGAUGGUCCUUACACAAGCAUCCCAGCAUCCCACUCAAGCAAAUUAGAGGUGACGAUGCACCCCAAACAUUGGCAAUGGGGCCCACGGUCUAGCCACUAUUCAUGGCCCUGCCACGUCGGUCACUGGAGUGCCACUGCAGCUACUUAUCUCUUGUCUACACACCACCUGUGCAGUUAUUUACUUAACCGACUCACCAAGUCCUUGAAAUCGACUCACUUAAAAGAAAACUCAACACAUUGAAAUACUUAUCUCUCGAAAUGUUAAAAUUGCUUGUUGACGUAACUCACAUUGUAUGCCCAGUGGUAUAUCCCAACAUACUACCCUUUGGAAAAAUAUCGUCCUGGCCAGAGCCGCUUGUCACAAAGUCCUGUAAACGUGAUGGGGGUGAAAAUUCAACAACCGGAGAUGUGGAAACAGAAUGCCAUCAGCGCCCCUGACAGGGUGAAGGGGCCCUACACUGUCGUUCCCCCAGACAUCUCAUCAAUGCCAAAAGCGAUUACAAGACUUCUCAGAACUUGGCCUUCGUUGGCUGCCUCCACUCACUCGCUUGAGAUUUCCUCUCUCCAGACCUGCCUACAAACUGGGACUUGGUUUCCCCAGCUCCUCCUCCUACCCGGCUGGCCUUCCAGCCACAACAGGAAACCAACGGGGGAUGAUGAAAAAAGCCAAGAUGGCGACCAUGCUUCUGGCCCCGGUCCAGGUCUCUCGCUUCCACUCCUGACGUGGUCAACGGACACACCCUUGAUUUCUGCUUUCAUUCCUGAGCGUGGAACGCGCUGUUUCCGGGACAGCUGUUGUUUUUGUUGCCUAGUGUCCAUUUAUUUGUCCCGUUUCUGAAAGGAGUUCCUGAUUGCCCUUCGGAAAGCCACCUCAAGCCCUAGCGCCGAGCACCUGACCCAGGCCUUGCCAAUCAGAGCUUUUGUCCUGCCCUUUGGCCACACGAUGGGUUCAUGGACAGAUGCAUGGCCCCAUCAGACCCGUGAUAAUCAGCCUUAGGCUGUUUGGUACAAUGAACUGGAAGGCGGUCUUCUCUUUCUGUUAGGGGUUGAUAAGCUAGAAGGGGGUAGGCCUGGAGCUGUAGAGGACCUAUUUACCGUCAUAGGGAGAGGACCUGUGCCAGAGUAAAGCUGACCCAGAGGCCAAGUGAUGGAAUAGAGUCCUAAUACAUUGAUUGGCUGGAUUCAGCCAUGCCUAAAGCCAGAUACCCUGGUCUUCGCAGUUCUAGCAGCCAGUUAUGUUUCCUUUUUUGGAUUAAGCCAGUCUGAGCUGAGUUUGUGUUACUUGCCAACAGAGAAGUUCUGUUAUUCCUCCAACGCCAUGUGGCCCUCUUCUUCCGGGAAGUCCUCUGUACCCAGUACCUAGGCAGCCAGGGGCUUUGGCAGGGUCCAGCUCAAGUGGGUCGUUAGCGUUGCCAAGGAUGCCCAGGAGUUGACAGCCACCCCAAUCUAUAGAACCCUUGUCCAUGGUGACUGGGAGGCCUACAGACUGCCUCACAGAAUAAAGCCGAGUUUGGCCCACCUAGGAUUUUUGGAGGGUUCAAAAUUGCCCUGCAGAGUUUUCUGUUUCUGCCAGUGACAGUGGCAAUGACUGUUGAACCCUGGUGCUUCCUAUGCUCCAGGCGCUCUUCUGUACUCUUCACAUACGAGUAUAUUAAUGCCUUUAUCAUCUGUACAAUGAUGCUAUAAAGCAAGUACCAUUACUAUCUUCAUUUUACAGGAAAUAAAACAGGGAGGUCAGCUGGCUUGUCCAAGGUCACACAGCUAGAAAGCAGAGCCAAGAGACAAACAAGUGCACUGUUGUUACUGGGCUCUUACCGCAGGCCAGGGCUCUAGAAAUGUCACCUGGCGAGCCCUUUGCUGGCAGUCUGUCUGAACUAGGUUCUCCCGCCCUUUAUGCUCUGUGCCAGUACUUUGGAUCUUUGUUGCAUGUGCCACAAUUUUCAAUUAUUUUAUUCCUCUUUCAGUCUGUACCCCCACCCCCACACCCUAGUUCGUCUUGUUUUGCAUCGAUACCCCAAUGCCUGGCACACGGGCAGGGCUCACAGCCCAGUUGCUGAAUGAAUGAAUUGCUAAAUAGGGUCUCCGACCCUCAUGUCACCAGCAGACAGCUGCUCUCACUGCCAUCUACCAGAGGAGGGGAUGGACGGUCUCAGAGGUUUCGGUCAAAGUUUGAUCCUUGGAAGACAACAGCACCAGCAUCACCCAGGAACUUGUUAGAAGGCGGACUAUUGGGGAGGGGGCCCAGCCCCCCAUGUCCGCAAGCCCCAAGGGUACGCAGAUGCUGGGGCACACUGAGGACAGGGGCGGCAGGGGCGCCCACUGUCAGGUAAGCCCGUCCUGCUGCACCAGCCAGCCACCUGGUGCCUCCCACCCUGGUGGGCUGAGCUGCUCUCCAGGAACCCCAAACUGAACAAUACAGAUGAGAGGUUCCGAGUCAGCCGCCAGGCAAGGCUGACUAGGGCAGGAUGAAUAUAUGGCAACAAACCCGUGGGAUGGAGGCGUGCAGCUCCUCCAAAGGAGUCAUGAAUAAAUGCGAACGAAUGUGCAA